UUGAACAUAGCGAAAUCAAUAUGGCGCAUGUUGAUAUGACAAAUUGACAGCAUUGUUUUGUCUUUGUAAUAAGUUGUAAUGUUUCUUUUACUUGUCCAAUUAAAGAACAAUAAAAUUUAAUAAUGACGAGACCGUUCGGUAAUAGUGACAAACGAUUUUCAAUCGACGACGCCUUCGAGGAGGAGACGGACGAAGCUAUAAAAGUGUAUGGCGCUACGGGCGACAGAUCGCCGUUGCAGAAUAAUAAAUAUAAGAAUGGAAGUGAAUAUUUGUCCAGUAAUAAAACAUACAAAUGCACAGACGACACGACCUCCCGAGACUCUGACUCUCUAAUCCACGAGUAUGUAGAGGCCACACAAGCAACGUACUGCUGGAACCAUCCCAAAGUCAGAGAGAACUGGAAGACAGUAUGCGCAGCUGUCAUUCUGUUGGUUGUUGGCGUGGGUUUACUGGGGAUGGGAGCCUUUGCUGUUGCGGAGCCAGAGAAUGGACUGCAGGGGGCGGUUUUCUUUGUAGCAGGUAUGAUCUGCUUCGUCCCCGGCGCCUACCACGUGGUGUACAUCUGGUUAGCAGCGCGCGGGCAACGAGGCUACGACUUCUACCAUCUGCCGCUCUUCACCUGAUCGCCUUGAGUAAGCCUUCGAAUUCAUCACACUUUGUUAGGUAGGACCGGUCAGCUGCUAAUUUAAUGUGUUCAAUAUUAUACAGUCGUGUUUUUAAUUAGCUAGAGUAAAUAGAGCGUUUAGAAAAAUUGACAUAUAAAUGAUAAUAAAAAACAGAUAACCCUUUGAACGCUACACCUGCGUGCGCGGCGCGUCAUCGUGAAUCUUGUUGUAUGCAGGAAAAUUGAUAUUGCGCUGUACCCGCGUGCGUUAGUCGUCGUCUUUGGCGGUAAUAGGGAUGACGUGUGUGGUGGUCAAAAAUUGCGGGUUCAAACCUCGGUUGUGUUGUAUAGAGCAGAAAAAAUCGUUCUCGAUAAAAAUGCAAAAAAGACUCGAAAUUCGACCAGAAUUUUUAUCAUACAAAAUACAAGAGGUUUUAUUUUCACGCCCGCGCCCAGAAACGUCAAUUUACUCUAAUGAGGUAAUUAAAAAUGUCAUUGAUCUCCUAACCAUAAAAUUUAAUUUUGAGCACUUACUACAUUUGUUACUGACUGUCCUAUCAUGUAGGAACUUUGGAAUAAUGACUGGUACCAUAUAGGGAACAUUCCUAUUAUGGGAAUAUUCCUGUAAAUGGCAUAUCAGUAUUUGCUAUAAGUGUCAUCCGCAGUUAGUGGUGCUUUGUCACUUCAUUUUGAAAAAUGAGAAAAUUAUUUGGUUUUAUCUUCUCUUAAGUUCUCUUAAUUGUCUCUUUAAGAGGAAACCCUUUAAGAGAAAAUAGAAUAUCUUCUUAAUACCUACUUAUUGUUUUAGGACUAUAAAUUGAUCUAUAACUGAAUUUAACUCAGUUCAUAUCAGUGUUUUUAAAAAUGUAAGCAAUUAAAACUAUGUGACUUUGUCAUUCUGCCGUUGAAAUAAUACCAAUGUUACAAAUCACUAUUGUUUCUAUUAAUCUUAGAAUCCUUUCAUAUCAAUGGUAUUAUGUCAUAGGCUAAAUAAGUCACUCAGUUAUGUUUGUCUGUAAACAUCAAUAUAACAUAAAAGAAAUGGAGCAUAAUUUUAUUAAAUUAAUAUUUCAUAAAGUUAUAUCGAAGAUCCUCCUAAUAGGAGGAAUAAAAGAUAAUGACGAAUAUUAAUUUAGUACAACUUAAAUUGAUGUAUCGACAUUAUGUAACGAAAAUUUGUCAUAUAUUUAUACUACACGUUACUUCGUUACACAAAGGAUAAAUUAAAUUGUAGAUAAGUGCUUACUGUUUAACUGUGUUCUUAAUCACCCAUAAUAAUUUCCAGGUUGAUAUUUUAUUUCAAUUCGUCGUUCUGUCAUUAAGGAUACAAAUAUGAUCAGUUUCUUACGGAAAGAUCAGAAAUAUAUAUUUGGGGACAAUCUUACACAGAAUUGUACUAAUUUUUUUUACCUUUUUUAAAAUUUUCAAAGGGGCUAUCAGGAAUGCCUACCAUUGUUCUAUGUAAAGGAAUGACGAUGACGAUCUGAUGAUUAAGAAUUUGAUUAAUUUAUAUUCUUCGAAUAACUAAUUACGCAUAAUUUAUAUUAAGUUAUGUUAUUUAAAGUAUUGAAACUGGAUAAUAAUGUAAACUUCGUAAGUAGUAAACAGGAGGGGGCAUAGAUAAAGUUAGAGAAAAACAUAUAAUAUACAUCUACCAUUAUUUUCAUGGAAUUAAAAUAAAAUAUUAAGGCAAAGAGUCAAAGGUUCCUCUUUGUUACUUGACUUACAUUGAGGUUUGUUCUCUAUGUAUUAGUGCGUUUCAGUAAUGAUUGCAGUCUAUAUUUUUCAUGAUAUUGAUUUUAAAUUGCAAAAAGAUACAAUGUAGAAUGUUCCUCCCCUUUGAGGUAUUUUUGUUGUCAAAUUUCAUUACAUAAAUUCGAUGACGUCGCAAUUCAAUCAAUCAAUCAUUCAAUCAAUUAAUUUAUUUUGCUGUAAUACACAGUGUGUUUUGUGUGUUACAGCAAAAUAAAUUAAUUGAUUGAAUUAUAUAAAGCUAUACAAUAUAGCUAUACAUACAGGGAUAAUUUAAAAUAACCGUUUGAAAUAGAAGCGAUGGUUCGAAUUUCUCUGAUAUUUUUAAGAAUUAAGAUAACUUGGUCCUGUUUAUGAUAUUUUAUUCUGAUCUCAAUAUAAUGAAAUACAUAAAUGUUUUAAAUUAUCUCCUUCAAUAGAUUUACAAUUAUUAAGUAAAGAAAAUAUAAAAAUAAACAACUGCAUCCAUCUCCAAAAUAUUUAGUUAGUUUAAGAGUUGCAACAUUUUUUUACGUGUUAAGAACUUAAUUUGUCUAAAAUUAAUUUCACUGUGUUACGAAAAUUGGUCAUACAUUUAACCGACUACGACGAAGUUAAAAGAUUAUUAUAUUAAAAACAUUAAUUUUAAUUCAAAUUAUUAUGAAUACACGGUACAAUAUUAGGUACGCUAGGCUUAGGUUUUGGGCGUUACGGAUUAAUUUAAAGAUAUGCAAAACAGUUCGAAAAACAAAGUUCUUACACUGGCACAUAACUUAAUGAGUACCUAGUGUUGUAUGGAUGAAUUUAAAAAAAUUACACAGUUAAGCAAUUUAAUUGCUUAAUUCGUGUAAAAACAAAUUUUAUGACUAAUGAUCGUUACACAAUGGAAUUAAUUACAAACUGAUUAAUGCCUUAAAAUGUGCAAAAAAAUGAAAUUAUAUUAUUAUUAAUAGAAAGAAUUGGGGUUGUAUAACUGUCUAGUCUACUUUUUUUAUCCAUUAAAUCUCACUUAAUCCAUUAAUUUGCCAUGCGUUAGAAAUUUAUAUCACUAUACUCGUAUGUCUUAGACCCGUAGGAGACACAUUUUAUAAGUUUAUAUUCAUAUGGCACCAAAUUGAAGAUUAAAAAUGUGUUACCUUUACCUGAUAGCCCGGCAGGUGUAAUAAUGUGUAUAAAUUUCGUCAGUGUUUUGUGUUGUGUAUUUUUUAUGUGAUAAUUUGUAUUUUAUAAAUAAAUCUGUCCGACUAAUAUGUAUAAAGUCUACUAUUAUAAAUGUAUGUAUUUAGUAAUCACAUGUAAAUAUAUCAUUAAUUUAUUCAAAUUACUCUUAAAUUAAGAUAAACUGGAUUACUUAAUGCUUAUUGUAAUAAAGAAAAUGUUAAUCACGCAAAAUAUGCAGUUUAAAAAAAAAAAAUUUAAACGGCCAAAAAAUGUCAUAAUAAAAAAAAGAGUGUAAAUUAUGAUCCUAGUUGGUCGAAAUAAAAAUGAUUUAAUUUACAAUAUAAGGAUGACUGGUGUUAACUGGAAGAGUCUUUAAUAUCAGUUUCGAUAAUCUCAAAUAAUUUUAUUAUUUAUCUAAAUACAUCCUUGCUUAAUAUUAUAGUUAGGUACAGAUCUUAAUUUUGACCAUAUAUUUCAUAGCAUCUUGGCCGUUCACCCAUACAUGUUUACAUUUCAAUUAGUCAUUUCCAUGAUGUAACGAAACCUACCCAUUUAUUCAUAUGGCUGAUUUUCGUACACAAAUAAUGAAAAAACUAUUUAUGGGGCCUGUAGACUGGCCAUAUUUUCACUGCAAUAUGUGGCCAGCAACUAUUGGUGUCUUCCUCUAACAUGUGAGUAAGAGGGGGACACCAAUAGUUGCCGGCCACAUAUUGCAGUGAAAAUAAAAUGUGGCCCAUCUAGGCCCCUUUAGGGUCGUACAGACGAGGAAAAAUAAAAGUUCUCUUCCUUUUUUUUAAGUUAAAGAUCCUGGAGUUAAACCAAGAAAAGUCUGCAACGAUUUUGAUAGCACACGCAGUGCAAAGUGCAAGUGUUAUUUUAAACGUCAAACUUCUAUGAAAUUAUGACGUAUAAAUAACACGUUCGUUCGUAACAGUUCGUUGCAGACUUCACUUAGUCUGACUCUAAUUAAUUCUUACUUAUGAAAAAUUAGCCUCAUGCAUGAAGUUUAUAUUUUAACCGAAAUAUGUUUUAUUCGGAUGUUUGUUACCAUUAUAUCAUGUUACAAAUGCAUUUCCGUUUUUAAAUUACCAUUUAAUUACUUAAAAUUAUAAAUAAAAAGUACAAAAAUUUGCCCGCGAAAAGCUAGUGAGCGAAACGCUCGAAACGCCACGUGACGUCACGCGUUCGACAGAUUAGUGUCAUUAGUAGCAAACGUCAGUUGGGCCGCCCAACGUGUGACGUCAUCACGCUCUGUCGAAUUCGCGCCAAAAAUUAUGAGCGUUUCAACCGCAAAAAUUUUCAAUAUUUUAAAUAUUUUUUAAUAAAAUAAUGUUAAGGUUUACAAAAGUAUUUUUAUCAUUUCCGGUGUUCCAACGAUAUAAAUUAUGAAUCCAAAAAUAAAAAUAAAUUCAUGCAUGGAGCUAAUUGCCCCAGAUAGCGACGACUUUUUGAGUUGCUUAACUUCAAACUCUGAUAACUCCAUCUGUCAGUUCAGAUUAUACUAUUUUGGUAUUAAGAAAAGGUAAUAGGGUAGAUGAUAUAUUUGCUGAUAGGGGCGAGUGGAUUUAUCAGAGUUUGAAGUUGUGACACUUUUGACAACAUCGUUUCUCCCGUCUUAAAAUCGUAUACCAUCCUUAAUUUUCAAAAAUAGCCAGAACCUAAAUAUCUGCAUGACCCUUCACUGCCUUUCCAUUGAGGCGGAGAUGGCCUCCCAUUCAACGUUGUAAGGGCUCCUCUACACGAUGGCCCAGCUUAGGCCAGUCCAAAGGACGCAGCUAUCUCAUAGCAUUAUCACUUGCUCCCUCUAACGGCGAAGUGGAGAAGAGAUGUGGAAGUGGAUUACAACCAAUCUCUGCCUCAGUAGAAAAUACCUAAAUGCAUUUUACUAACAUCUUGAUCUAUGGAUUAUGUUAGUCCGAAAUAAACAAUUUUUUUUUACCAUAUUUAUAAAACAGAAUUUACUUGAAUGUAUGAUGUUGACUCUAAAAAGUCCAUCCAAAAGAUCAAUCUUCAUUAUGUUUAAUCUACUUUGAGGAGGCAAUUGUUUAAAGUAAUUAAGUUAAGUAAUGUUAUAGACUAUUCAAAGUGCCUAGACAUAUGUUUGAGAUCUAAAAGCAUCAUUUACAUCCUUUCCUCAUUAGUAUAAAAGCAAUAAAAAAUGUUUUAGCUGAA